AUUGAACGCUGGCGGCAGGCCUAACACAUGCAAGUCGAACGAGUGGCGGACGGGUGAGUCAUGACUGGGAAACUGCCCGAUGGAGGGGGAUAACUACUGGAAACGGUAGCUAAUACCGCAUACCAUCGGAUGUGCCCAGAUGGGAUUAGCUAGUAGGUGGGGUAACGGCUCACAUAGGCGACGAUCCCUAGCUGGUCUGAGCGGAUGACCAGCCACACUGGAACUGGGACACGGUCCAGACUCCUACGGGAGGCAGCAGUGGGGAAUAUUGCACAAUGGGCGCAAGCCUGAUGCAGCCAUGCCGCGUGUAUGAAGAAGGCCCUAGGGUUGUAAAGUACUUUCAGUCGGGAGGCGUUGCCGACAGAAGAAGCACCGGCUAACUCCGUGCCAGCAGCCGCGGUAAUUC
rnacentral:rRNA from 1 species